rnacentral:tRNA from 1 species
UUGAGGGUGAAGCUCAGUGGUAGAGCGAGUGCUUAGCACACCCAAGGCCCUGGGUUCAACACCCAGCACACAAA